GGGCUCAUAGCUCAGUUGGUAGAGCGCCGCAUUCGCAUUGCGGAGGCCGGGAGUUCAAAUCUCCCUGAGUCCA
rnacentral:tRNA from 1 species